UCUCCAUAUUUGCUGGCUGGGAUUGUGUAGGCGUGUCCCCAAGUUGAAAGUGAAACGAUAAGACAGACGCCGCAAGAAGCCCUUGAAUGCUGCCGGUAUUUUUUUCCCUUGGCAAGAGUCCUUAUGGUUUCCCAAGCAGCAUGGUUCCACUGAGAUUCAUGUGCGACAUUGCCCUUUGUCUCUUGGUGUUCCUGUGCAUAAUAGGUCGGUCCCUCCAAGGCUGUGCAGACUAUUUGGAUAACUCCACUAAGUUUCUGAAAGCAAAUUUCUCACCACACCAAUACAUCCGACUGGAAGGACUCUCCCUGAAUCCGGCUAGAGGAACAAUGAACCGCACUGAAGUGGCGAACUGCACCACGCAUCAGUGGUGCACCCAGUCCGGAAAUAUUUCAUCACAUCAAUGCAAUAUAUAUCAAAGCUGUUUCAACGAAUCAAUGAAUCUCGCCCAAACGGGUUGCGAUUCAUCUCACGAGCUAUAUCCCCAAAAGAUGGAAAUGGUCUCUAUGCUUCAGCUGUAUUGUAUGGUGAACAUUGUGCAAAACAAGACAGAUUUUCCUUCCGAGUGCAAGGAAGGAGAAAAGAUCUAUGUCUGCACGCUGAAACCUACAGAAAAAACUCCCACUCCGUCGUUUCACGAUAAAACAACAACAGAAGCAGCGACAACAGAAGCAGCGACAACAGAAGCAGCGACAACAGAAGCAGCGACAACAGAAGCAGCGACAACAGAAGCAGCGACAACAGAAGCAGCGACAACAGAAGCAGCAACAACAACAGCAGCAACAACAAAAGCAGCAACAACAUGCGGCUCAAAAUCCGAAAGUAAUGCUACUUUCGGAGACAACCAAGGUUUUAUUGCGUCUAACGUGGUUCUAGUGUUCCUGUUGGUCUUACUUAUCGUCUCAAAUGCAACCUGGUGUCAGUACUCCCGAAGACAAAGAAGAAUACACCAGCUUUGGAGAGCGGGACACCAAUGUGCUUGCCCAGACCAAACAGACCAACUAUUGACGGUAAUAUUAUUGAAAUCCCUCGAAUCCAUUAGUUUUCUGUUUUUCGAUAGUAAGGUCUCACUGACCUGCACUGCUUUAAGGUCCGAUGACUAUAAUCUGGCUCUCACAGGUGGGCGUGUCCACCUAGAUGUGUGACGGACAGAUGAGCAACGUUUGCUAUGGUCCACCGGGUAGGCUGGUCGACUGAUCUAUCCAGCACACAUCUAGGUGGACACGCCCACUAGUGAUGUCAUAAGAGCCAGAUUUCACACUCACACCUGGUGGCAUGUCAUGGGACCUAAUAUACCAUUUUCACAGAGGACAGAUCCUCACAAACACAGUAGUUUUAUGGGUGCCACACUCAAAGUCAUAACCAUAGAUAUGGGUCUGCUCCUUCCAUGUGCCAGGACACCGGUAGUAGACCUGUUGUUACUAGUUUUCUCUACUACCCGGGCCCCGGCACGUACGUAGCAGAGCAGACCCGUCAUUUGUGAGAUUCCGGAUCAAGAGUCGAGGCCUUGACAGAACUUCUGGGGGGAACCACACAGAACCGGGGGGACGCGAGGGCCUUACGCUGUGUUUUUUUUUUUUUUUACAAUUUGUUGUAUUAUAUGGAUGUGGUAUUUGUCUAUAUGGAUAUUUCCAAUGAUAGCCGCCAGUCUUUUACACAGCUUUCCACUCCAACCUAUAAAAGUAAAGUGCCAUUCUGACUGCUGUAGGGUUGUAUAUUAGCCAAAGCAAAAUGUAUUACCAAAAAAAGAUCCAUCCGAAACCCCGCCCUGAGGUUCACUCAGCGGGGUUUGCAGUCAGGCCGCAAAUUUAGCGGCCCAUGAAAGGAGACUGGAAUGGGUCCCUAAAUAUGGCCACAUUUCAAUCUUUUCCGUUAUUUUAGAUCCCCUAUAUAGACAAUGUUCUCCUUUCAUCACAAAAGAAAUGCAUUUUUUUUAAAGGUGUCGUGUGUAGGAUUUAUUGCCACCUAGUGUCGAUGUUGCAGAUUGCAACCAACUGAAUACCCCUCCCUCUCCCUUUCCAACCACGCAGUAGAUAAGCUACCUUGGCCUGAAAGGUGCCAUUAGGUACCUCCAGAAUGUUGUAAUUUAUGGCGUGUCAAGUAAUGAGGUUCCUUGGUCGAUUUAACUGUUCAUUGUUCAGGACUACUUCACAACACAGCUGUGCCACAUAGCGGGCUCCGUGGCCGAGGUCCCUAUCCCGCUGCCAUAUGGAGAUGUAAAGAGCUCAUUCUGAGCUAGCAAAAACAAAGAUUGGUAUUUUCAUGGGAUGAUGCAUUGAUUUCAAACAUACUUUAAAAGUGAAAGGCUUCAAGCUAGCUAUUCAAAGUCCAUGUCACCUGAAGGAAACGGUGCUUUAUGUGUUUUUUCUACAACAGUGAGCUGUAUUAUGUAUAGGUGUGUAUUAUAGGAUUGUAUUAUUCAACCUUUUUUUUUAAAUGCAGAAAACUUCAACUACUUCAACUCUUUAUUCUCCAAUUCAUCCAUUUCAUGACCACGUGUUGAAUUUGCCUGAAAUGAUAUGAUUCGUGUUGUAUCGUUUGUGGAUAAAACUUUGAUAUUGUGUAUUAUAUGUACAAUGUUUCCAAAAAAAGGCAUGCAUAUUGGAUGUAUCAUAUAAUCACAUAGUUUGUAGGUUUGAAGCUUUUUAAGCUUUAACAAUAAGGUUACAUUAAUUAGCCGUUCAUUAACAUUAGUAUAGUAUAAACUAACAUUUAACUAAAGGUUAAUUAACCGUUAAAUAAUGGUAUAGUAAAUCUGUAAUAAUCUGUAAAUCUUUACUUAUGGUGUUCAUGUUGAUUAAGCUAUUCAUUCAUACAUUAUUUAAUAGGGGUAGGGUAAGGGUUAUGUAAGUUAAUUAGGAAUAUUAGUUAAUUUGAUUAAUGUGAUAGUUUUACUUUUACAUUUAGGGCAUUUAGCAGACGCUUUUAUCCAAAGCGACUUGCAAUAAGUACAUUUGUCAUUAGAAGUGCAACAAUAUAUCGCUGUCCGUACUGAAAGGAUGUUCAUAGAACCAAGUGCAAGUACCAUAAUCUCUAAGCUAAUCAAUUCCCCGUGUUACAGCCAUGAUGGCAGCUACUGCAGUUGCUACACAGUUAAGUACCAUAAUACAAUACAAUACAAUACAAUACAAUACAAUACAGUGUACAAUGGUGGCCAGAAGGGGGAGGGUGGCUAUGCAGAGUCGAGGUGGACUCUGAACAGGUGAGUCUUGAGUCUUUUUCGCAAGAUAGUGAGCGACUCUGCGGUCCUGAGAGCGGCAGGGAGCUCGUUCCACCACUGAGGUCCCAGAACCGAGAAAAGUUGUGACUUUGCUGAUCGACCUUUGCUAGCUCUUAGCGAUGGCGGCACCAGGCGUAUAGUCUGGACGGGCCAUCAGGCGUACCGGGCAAUGCCCGGUGGGCUGGCAGGCCUUUUUGGGCCGACGAGGUUUACUUGAGGUUUACUAUUUUUUUUACUUUUUUUUUUUGUCACACAUCCGAGGGCCGAGGUCCGUUCCUUCCCUCUCGGUCGUGCGGGCUGUCAACUUAACCUGAAAGUUCAAUACAACUUUGGCCCAGGCCAUAACUCAUUAUGAUUGGUUCUGGGCUGGCCCUGGCCCUAUCACACACACAGAAGAGGGCCGAGGUCCCGCCCCUUGGGCCUCGGCUGUCAAUCAGUCAAUCAGUCACGUCACUAACUGACAGAAAAAUGGAGAAGAAACGUAAAGGAGGCGCGGAGAAUCUCUCUCUCUCUCUCUCUCUCUCUCUCUCUCUCUCUCUCUCUCUCUCUCUCUCUCUCUCUCUCUCUCUCUCUCUCUCUCUCUCUCUCUCUCUCUCUCUCUC